UUUGUUAGAUCUAAAUUGGAGAAUUUUCUCUCAAAAAUUUAUGCAUCUCUUCUAUUUUCUUGGCAUCCAAACACUCUUUAUUCUUUCAAUUUUGCAAGAAAAUCACUCUUUCUUCUCUAAUUUCUCAUCUAAACUUAGCUCGUUUUUGCUCAAUUGGUACAAAUUCGUGGAGGUUUUCGAAUUAAAGGUAAAUCUAUUAUUUCGUUAUGUAUUAAAUUUUUAUUAGGUGUUUUUAAUUUGAAUUUUCAUAGAUCUAAGCAAGAAAAUUAAAGGUCCAUGGUUUUAAAGCUAUCUUUUGCAUAAAAAUAGUGAAUCUCAUAAUAAAGAGUUAAGAGAUAUUUUUAAAAUGAUUUUUAGUAUAUUUUGACGAGAUUAAGAGGUUUACAAAUUCAAUUUAACAAAAUUUUUAAGUAAUUGCAUGAAUUAAAUGGUUUUCUUUUAAGAAUGAGGAUGAACAAUGUUUUUCCGGAAAAAUAUUAAUUAAAUAAAUAGAGCAAAGUUAGAGAUCUAGAUAUAUAAUUUGGCACAAGUUAGAGGGUUAGGAGGUAGAAAUAAAAGAUUUAAUUAAGGUAAAAAGAAGAAAUUAAGCGCAAUAAAUUGUACGAAAUAAGCCGAAUAAAUAUGUGUGAGUGAGAGCCGUUGUAUGAACAUAAAGAGAGUAAGCUAAAUUAUUUUUUAAUGCUUAGUAAUAUGUAUAUUCUUGUGCGAAGUUGAAAAUGUUGGUGGAGCCUCAACAAACCAAGAUAAAGGCGAGCGAAAAGUUGUCUAAUUCGACGAGUCGUGGUGAGCUAUAGGUGAGUGCAUUUGUAUGUCGUGUUUUAGCAUGAAUUGCAAAAUCUAGAGAGUCGAAGU
rnacentral:lncRNA from 1 species